rnacentral:tRNA from 1 species
GCGGCGAUAGCUCAGUGGGUCAAGAGCCAGGUGAGAAGAUGACGAUUAAUUAUCCGCGCGGGUUCGAAUCCCGCCUGUGGCA